UAAAGGCCUACCUAUAUGCCGGUAAAUACAAACCACAGUUUUAAAUCCAAAGAAUCUGGCGGUAUCUUAAAUAAUCAGGGGAACCUGUGCCUUAAUUUGAUAAUCCACACACAUUUAACCAUAUUUCGCAUUUCAGCCUGUGUACUGCUGUCGUCAGUAAACCUUUAAAAGAGUUUACUUAAAUAUUUCAUAUUCACGUCAAGUCAAAGUGCAGCCUAUAAUAUGGGGGUCAUGGGUUACAACUCUAAUAAGAAAUACGAAUUAUUAUAAUAAAAAUAAUAUAAAGGUGGCACUUGACAGUAAUAUUUACAACAUACUAAUAUAAACUACAACCUAAGCAUAUGUACACAUUCGCCCGUCACUCUCGUACAAAUAG
rnacentral:rRNA from 1 species